rnacentral:rRNA from 1 species
CCAAUAGCGUAUAUUAAAGUUGUUGCAGUUAAAAAGCUCGUAGUUGAAUUUCGGGGUUCAUACGUUGGUCGGGCUAUUUGGUCUGUACUUAUGUAAUGGAUUCCUACCUUCUGAAUAACCGGCAUGCCAUUAAUUUGGUGCGCCGGGGAAGCAGGACUGUUACCUUGAAAAAAUUAGAGUGCUUAAAGCAGGCUAUCGCCUGAAUACAUUAGCAUGGAAUAAUGAAAUAGGACGGCAUGGUUCUAUUUUGUUGGUUUCUAGGAUCACCGUAAUGAUUAAUAGGGAUAGUUGGGGGCAUUAGUAUUCAAUUGUCAGAGGUGAAAUUCUUGGAUUUAUUGAAGACUAACUUCUGCGAAAGCACUUGCCAAGGAUGUUUUCAUUAAUCAAGAACGAAAGUUAGGGGAUCGAAGACGAUCAGAUACCGUCGUAGUCUUAACCAUAAACUAUGCCGACUAGGGAUCGGACGAUGUUAAUUUUUUAAUGACUCGUUCGGCGCCUUACG